GACGAACGCUGGCGGUGUGCUUAACACAUGCAAGUCGAACGGUAAGGCCCUUUCUGGGGUACACGAGUGGCGAACGGGUGUGUAACACGUGAGUAACCUGCCCUCAUCUCUGGGAUAACAGUCGGAAACGGUUGCUAAUACUGGAUAUGAGCUUGCAAGGCAUCUUGUGGGUUGGAAAGAUUUUUUUUGGUUGGGGAUGGACUCGCGGCCUAUCAGCUUGUUGGUGUGGUAGUGGCUCACCAAGGCUUCGACGGGUAGCCGGCCUGAGAGGGCGACCGGCCACAUUGGGACUGGGAUACGGCCCAAACUCCUACGGGGGGCAGCAGUGGGGAAUAUUGCACAAUGGACGGAAGUCUGAUGCAGCAACGCCGCGUGCGGGAUGACGGCCUUCGGGUUGUAAACCGCUUUCAAUUGUGACGAAGCUUUUUUGUGACGGUAGCAGUAGAAGAAGCACCGGCUAACUACGUG
rnacentral:rRNA from 1 species